AUUGAACGCUGGCGGCAGGCCUAACACAUGCAAGUCGAGCGGUGCGGCGGACGGGUGAGUAAUGCCUAGGAAUCUGCCUGGUACUGGGGGAUAACGUCAGGAAACGGGCGCUAAUACCGCAUACCUUCAGUUGCGCCUAGGUCCGAUGAGCUAGUUGGUGGGGAAAGGCCUACCACGGUGACGAUCCGUAACUGGUUUGCGAGGAUGAUCAGUCACACUGGAACUGAGACACGGUCCAGACUCCUACGGGAGGCAGCAGUGGGGAAUAUUGGACAAUGGGCGAAAGCCUGAUCCAGCCAUGCCGCGUGUAUGAAGAAGGUCUUCGGAUUGUAAAGCACUUUAAGUAGGGAGGCGUUACCAACAGAAUAAGCACCGGCUAACUUCGUGCCAGCAGCCGCGGUAAUUC
rnacentral:rRNA from 1 species